rnacentral:lncRNA from 1 species
CUCCCCUUUAGCCUCCCUAUUCAGCAGACUAUCUGCUCCCCAAAUGGGACUUCUUGCUCCCUUCCAUACAUAGAAGUACUACUCAAUCUCCCGCCUCCCAUCAGACACCUCCAGACAAGGUUUGGUCCCUCAAGUCCCCUCCCUGCUAAAAGCAGCAGCUGAUUCUACUUACACCCCGGCCCCCACUCCCCUCUCUUCACCAUUCCACUUUACUUUAGAAGAAUAACCUGUGAUAAUUUUAUUUCUUCUUCUUUCUGGCAACUAAUGGACUCCUUAAAUAGCAAAAAUUGCGGCCUGUAAUUAAGAUCUUGCUUUUUAAAUGAUUAAUCAUUCUAACCCCUUUGAGCGGCAUCCUACUUAUGGGUCCUCUCACAUUGAAAUGCAGAUCUGAGACAGGGGAGGGAGCACUGCCGACCAACCAAGGAGCAAUUAAACCAUCCCAGCUGUCACUCGGUCUGUCUGUCUUGCCAGCCAGCCAGUCAUCACAGAGAAAGAGUCCUUUAGUUGCAAUGGCAGCAUCGAGUCUCACUGGCAUGGUGGCAAACAAUGGCAUCAUCUCAAACAGAAAUGGCAGGGGGAUAUGCAUGAAUCAGGCAGCUUGACAUCAAGUUCCUAAGCAAAAGUAGGAAUUGGAUGGUGCCAAAGGAGGAGUUGGCAUCUCAAAGAGGCCACUGAAAAGAUCAAAUGUCUAACUGAUCAAACAAUGCCAAAUGAAUGUAGCAUGGCUAAUUAGUAGCCUUGUAAUAAGCCAUUUAUGCCCCAAUGAAGCUUGAAUAUUAGUUUCAAGGCUGGCUGUACUGGUAGUAAUAAGUUAGGCUCCUGAAUUCUGUUCUAACCCUUCUAUAAGGCAUGUUAUGAUUCCCUUACAUUUAACAUUCCUCUCUCUUUGUAAGAAUAAACUACCUAUACCAUACUUGAUUCA